AAAAAUUUGGACACUCUCCAAACUGCAGGAUGGUUUUAUCUGUCUACUUGUUAUCUCUUCUCAGAAAUAAUAUGACUAUAUGAUUUUCAGUUUAGUGUUGGGUUUUAAUCCACAAAAAUUAUUCAGUGGACUUUUAGUUUCUCAGCUGAAUUUAUCUAAGACCUUGUUAUGCCUUUUUCAGGGUAGUGAUAAAUAAUUAUUUCCUUUACACUUUCUGUGUGGACAGCUUCUUGGUUAAUGAAGAGCCGUCAAUUUUUCUUAGUAGCAGGCUUUGUCCUUUUUAAAUUAAUAUGAUUUUGUUUCUAAUUUAAUGUAAUCCAUCUGAGAUUUGUAUAAAGUAAUGCACUUUUUACUCAGGGUUCAAACAGAGGUUCAAGAAAAUGCAAACUAAUUCUUAAUGAUCAGCAUAUAAAUUAGGAUGCUAUCGGAUUUGUGACUGUAAAUAAUAUCUCACAUACUCUCUAAUUUCAGAGGAGUAACCCUAGAAAAAAAGAGUGAAUGAACAAGAGGUAAACCUCACUUAGAUUUUUUUUUUUUUCCCUUAUAUGAGUGCAGAGGAAUUAAUCUGACCAUGUACAUAGGAACAAACUGAAGUUCACCGUGUGCUCAUUUACCCUAGAAGCUAAUUUGCAGCCGGGUCCAAUUUUCAUUUCUAACACUUAUUUUUCUUGGUCAAUUAGGUUUUUCAGGAAGUCAGGCGUCCCCCUGUGCUGCUUCUGUAUGCAUUGAUAGCUCCUAUCCAAAUCACUCUUCCAUUGUGUCUAAUUCCACAGCCGUGUGCAGGCUGCGUGGUGCGUGUUUGCAGGUCUCGCUUCAGCAGUAAUUCCUCUACAUUUCCAAGCUGCAUUUCGGUCUGCCCCACUGCCCUGCCCGUGUGUCUCAGCCCGCUCUGGGUGGCUUUUGUCCCCCUCAGCCUGCGUGCAGAGCUCCAGCUCCCAGAACCAGGAAAGCAUUGUUGCUGGUUGUGGCUGGCUCCCCUGGGAGUACUGGUCUGGGUCAGUCUUUUCCUGUCGUGUCAGGGUAGCAGGCAGAGUUUGCUCUUUCUGUGUUACCCUGCCACUUAACAUUUCGCAAUGCCUGUUACCCGGUUGCAGCCGAACUGAUGAAAUGUGUCAGUAACCUUCUGCCGAGUCGCGACCUGAGGCGCAACCCCCGCGGUGCAUCCCUGUGUAGGUGGUGGUGACGGAGCAAAGCCCAGAGAGAAUCAGUGACCUGGUCUGCAUCAGGAUCAAGCAAAGUGAUGUCGGGACAGUAAAAAGAGACAGAAAUCUGUUGAGUUACUACUUGGAGACUGAUGACUGAGACAAAGAAAAAGUUCCGCCACCAGUUCAUGCAUCCUGAAGGAGGUGGGGAUUGUACUGCAAUCAAAGCUUGAAGACCAACGUGGGCCACUCCAGCUGAAAACUGGUAGGUGCAAUGUUCUGCCACUGCCCUCAACUACAGAAGUCUUAUUUCUCUCUGUUAGAACCUCCCUCCCUUCAACCACAAGAAACACACUGAUCAAAUAAAUGUCAUUAAUAUUUUUGCGUAUAUAUCAGGCACAAAACAAUGAGGGUCUAUUAAUGCUGUUUUAAAAUUUGUUCCCAAGAAGCUCACUUGCUCAGAAGACUCGUUUAGCAGUAAAAUCAUCUCACAGAGUCAUAGAAUCAUUUAGAUUGGAAAGGACCUCUCCCAUCACUGAGUCAACUGUUAACCCAACUGCUCAGUCCACCCCGAAGCUGUGUCCCUAAGCCAGACCUAUAUAUGGCUUUUCAGUGUCUCCAGGACUGGGGUUUCCACUACUUCUCUUGGCAGCCUGUUCCAAUGCUUGACUAUCUUUAGGUGAAAAAAGUUUUCAUAACAAUCUAAACCUCCCCUAGCAGAAUUUGAGGUCAUUUUCUCUUGUCCUAUUGCAUAUUACAUGGGAAAAGAGGCUGACCCCAGCU